UACGGGGGGGGCAAGCGUUGUUCGGAAUUACUGGGCGUAAAGGGCUCGUAGGCGGCCAACUAAGUCAGACGUGAAAUCCCCAGGCUCAACCUGGGAACUGCGUCUGAUACUGGAUGGCUUGAAUCCGGGAGAGGGAUGCAGAAUUCCAGGUGUAGCGGUGAAAUGCGUAGAUAUCUGGAGGAACAUCAGUGGCGAAAGCGACUUCCUGGACCAAUACUGACGCUCAUGUGCGAAAGCGUGGGGAGCAAACAGG
rnacentral:rRNA from 1 species